GCUGAUGGCCUCCUCACUCUACCUACACACGUGCAGGAGGCCUGUGGGACUGACUGCCUCCUCGUCCUUUCCUCCCCAGCCACCUGCGGCCUGAGACAGUACAGCCAGCCUCAGUUUCGCAUCAAAGGAGGGCUCUUCGCCGACAUCGCCUCCCACCCCUGGCAGGCUGCCAUCUUUGCCAAGCACAGGAGGUCGCCCGGAGAGCGGUUCCUGUGCGGGGGCAUACUCAUCAGCUCCUGCUGGAUUCUCUCUGCCGCCCACUGCUUCCAGGAGAGGUUUCCGCCCCACCACCUGACGGUGAUCUUGGGCAGAACAUACCGGGUGGUCCCUGGCGAGGAGGAGCAGAAAUUUGAAGUAGAAAAAUACAUUGUCCAUAAGGAAUUCGAUGAUGACACUUACGACAAUGACAUUGGUAAGAGCUCGUCAUUCCCGGCUCCAGUUCAUACAGAUCACACAACACACCCACAUGCACUCACCUAUGUUUACACACACGGGCCUCCUCCUCCAGCCCCUGCCCCUCCUGCGUGUUCCUCCCCUCCCGGGGACGAGGCCCUCACGCCAGCUCACUCCU
rnacentral:sRNA from 1 species